rnacentral:rRNA from 1 species
GACGAACGCUGGCGGCGUGCUUAACACAUGCAAGUCGAACGGAAAGGCCCUGCGUUUGUGGGGUGCUCGAGUGGCGAACGGGUGAGUAACACGUGAGUAACAUGCCCUUGACUUUGGGAUAACUUCAGGAAACUGGGGCUAAUACCGGAUAGGAGCUCCUGCAGCAUGGUGGGGGUUGGAAAGAUUCGGCGGUUGGGGCUGGACUCGCGGCUUAUCAGCUUGUUGGUGAGGUAGUGGCUUACCAAGGCUUUGACGGGUAGCCGGCCUGAGAGGGUGACCGGGCACAUUGGGACUGAGAUACGGCCCAGUAUCCUACGGUAGGCAGUAGUGGAGAAUAUUGCACAGUGGGCGGGAGUCUGAUGCAGCAACGCCGCGUGCGGGAUGACGUCCUACGGGGUGUAAACCGCUUUCGCCUGUGACGAGGCGUGAGUGACGGUAACGGGUAAAGAAGCACCGGCUAACUACGUG